UGCUGUGCCAUAUUUACAAAAUGUAUGCGUCUGCACUAUGCAGACUGGCAGAAGUCCGGUAUGAGUGAAUCAGAGCAGAGUAAAUUAUAGCAGACCAGCAAAAACAUGCUUUAUUCCCCUUAAAAUGAUUCCAGUAUUAGACAUCAAUAAAAUUAUUAGUUUCUUUUUAAUUAGGUGGUGGUUUUAAAAUUGACUAUUCCUGUAUGUCUGUUGUUUUCUAUAAGGGCCGUUGUUAUGCAUGCCAUAACAAAAAAGGCAGGAAUACUGAGGCAGCUACGACGUGGAUGUCUACAACUUCUUAAUGAUGCAGGUCCCAAAGACGUCCCUGGUGUGAUGCAAAGGCUGUCCAGCAGGCUCACAGACAUCUCCUGUUAACUGAGAGAGAAGCAUUUAAAAUAGUUGUCCAUUUUGACCAUGAUUACAUUGACAACAUGCCCAGGCACACUGUCUGCUUCCCAUUUCUCAGUGCCUGCACGAUAACAGUGACUUUUCCACCUCAAGUCUUUUGAGGAGUUU